rnacentral:rRNA from 1 species
GUGCCAACAGCCGCGGUAAUACGUAGGUCCCGAGCGUUGUUCGGAUUCACUGGGUGUAAAGGGCGCGUAGGUGGUUGUCUGUGUCUCACGUGAAAUUCCCUGGCUCAACCAGGGAGGGUCGUGGGAAACCGAGAGGCUAGAGGGCAGGAGAGGAGAGUGGAAUUCCCGGUGUAGCGGUGAAAUGCGUAGAGAUCGGGAGGAACACCAGUGGUGAAGACGGCUCUCUGGACUGUCCCUGACACUGAGGAGCGAAAGCCAGGGGAGCAAACCGGAUUAGAUACCCGGGUAGUCCUGGCCGUAAACGAUGGGUGCUAGGUGUUGGGGGGUAAAGACCCUUCAGUGCCGAAGCUAACGCGAUAAGCAUCCCACCUGGGGAGUACGGCCGCAAGGUUGAAACUCAAAGAAAUUGACGG